rnacentral:rRNA from 1 species
AGUGAACGUUGGCGGCGUGGAUUAGGCAUGCAAGUCGAGCGAGAACCGUAGCAAUACGGGGACAGCGGCGAACGGGACAGUACUGUGUAGGUACCUACACCUGGGUUCGGGAUAGCUGCGGGAAACUGCAGGUAAUCACGGAUCACGUCUGAGGACCACAGGUGUGAUUCCACCUGGGGAGGGGCCUGCGUCCUAUGAGGUUGUUGGUGAGGUAACGGCUCAGCAAGGCCAAGAUGGGUAUGGGGUGUGAGCGCAUGCCCCCACUCACUGGGACUGAGACACUGCCAAGACACCUACGGGUGGCUUCAGUCGAGAACCUUCGGCAAUGGGGGAAACCCUGGCCGAGCGACGCCGCGUGCGGGAUGAAGGCCUUCGGGUUGUAAACCGCUGUCAGAGGGGAGGAAAUGCCGGUGGGUUCUCCCAUCGGUUUGACCUAGCCUCAGAGGAAGGACGGGCUAAGUUCGUGCCAGCAGCCGCCGUAA